GACGAACGCUGGCGGCGUGCUUAACACAUGCAAGUCGAACGGAAAGGCCCUGCUUUUGUGGGGUGCUCGAGUGGCGAACGGGUGAGUAACACGUGAGUAACCUGCCCUUGACUUUGGGAUAACUUCAGGAAACUGGGGCUAAUACCGGAUAGGAGCUCCUGCUGCAUGGUGGGGGUUGGAAAGUUUCGGCGGUUGGGGCUGGACUCGCGGCUUAUCAGCUUGUUGGUGGGGUAGUGGCUUACCAAGGCUUUGACGGGUAGCCGGCCUGAGAGGGUGACCGGCCACAUUAGGACUGAGAUACGGCCCAGACUCCUACGGGAGGCAGCAGUGGGGAAUAUUGCACAAUGGGCGGAAGCCUGAUGCAGCAACGCCGCGUGCGGGAUGACGGCCUUCGGGUUGUAAACCGCUUUCGCCUGUGACGAAGCGUGAGUGACGGUAAUGGGUAAAGAAGCACCGGCUAACUACGUG
rnacentral:rRNA from 1 species